GACGAGCGCUGGCGGCGUGCUUAACACAUGCAAGUCGAACGGGAGUAUUGAAGAAGCUUGCUUUAGAGAUACUUUAGUGGCGGACGGGUGAGUAACGCGUGAGGAGCUGUCCAAUGCAGGGGGACAACAGUUGGAAACGACUGCUAAUACCCCAUAAGCCGAGAGGUAAAAGGAUUUAUCCGGCAGAGGAGGUACUCGCGUCCUAUCAGCUAGUAGGUGAGGUAACGGCUCACCUAGGCGAAGACGGGUAGCCGGCCUGAGAGGGCGAACGGCCACACUGGAACUGAGAUACGGUCCAGACUCCUACGGGAGGCAGCAGUGGGGAAUAUUGGGCAAUGGGGGGAACCCUGACCCAGCGACGCCGCGUGGGUGAAGAAAUCCUUCGGGAUGUAAAGCCCUGUUGUAUGGGAAGAGCGGAAGACGGUACCAUACGAGGAAGCCCGGCAAACUACGUGCCAGCAGCCGCGGUAAU
rnacentral:rRNA from 1 species